GAGGGUAGAGCUCAGGGGCAGAGCGCAUGCCCAGCAUGCAUGAGGUCCUGGGUUCAAUCCCCGGUGCCUCCA
rnacentral:tRNA from 1 species